CGGGACGUACGUCAGGUUGGUCAGACGGCCCGGUCCGGAACCGGGAGGCCGCAGGUUCGAAUCCUGCCGUCCCGA
rnacentral:tRNA from 1 species